rnacentral:lncRNA from 1 species
GUGAGAUGUUCUGGUGGUUGAGGGAGGAGUUUCUGAGUUUGGAUAGAUAGGUGUGGGUUGAGAGAUAGAAGAAGCAAUGUGAUGUGUUUAUACAGAAGGAGCAAGAGAAACAGACUUACCAGAAGGUCCAGACAGAGGUGUUGGAGGUCUUGAUCCAGAGGAUUCUCCUAGCCUUGCCUUCUUAGCUUGCUUCGCCUUCUAAGAGGGUCCUCG